rnacentral:rRNA from 1 species
AGAGUUUGAUCCUGGCUCAGGACGAACGCUGGCGGCGUGCCUAACACAUGCAAGUCUACUUGAACCUACCGCUUGCGGUAGCGGAUGGUGGCGAACGGGUGAGUAACGCGUAGACAACCUACCAUUUAAAGAGGGAUAAUUCAGUGAAAACCGGACUAAUACCUCAUGUGCUCUCAUAUCGGCAUCGAUUAGAGAGGAAAGACUGCGGUCGUUAAAUGAUGGGUCUGCGUAUCAUUAGUUAGUUGGUAAGGUAACGGCUUACCAAGACAUCGAUGAUUAGCUGGUCUGAGAGGAUGAUCAGCCACACUGGGACUGAGAUACGGCCCAGACUCCUACGGGAGGCAGCAGUGAGGAAUAUUGCACAAUGGGGGCAACCCUGAUGCAGCAACGCCGCGUGUACGAAGAAUCUGAUUACAGUGUAAAGUACUGUUAGAAGGGACGAAAUAUUUGAUUAGGAGUCAAAUUUGCCGGUACCUUCUAAGAAAGCUCCGGCUAACUCCGUGCCAGCAGCCGCGGUAAUACGGGGGGAGCAAGCGUUGUCCGGAAUCAUUGGGCGUAAAGGGCAUGUAGGUGGUAAUUUAAGUCAGUUUUUAAAUGUCACGGCUUAACCGUGGACUGGAAUUGAAACUGGAUUACUUGAGUAUGAGAGGGGACAGAGGAAUACCUAGU